rnacentral:rRNA from 1 species
UUAGAGUUUGAUCCUGGCUCAGGACGAACGCUGGCGGCGUGCUUAACACAUGCAAGUCGAACGAUGAAGCCCUUCGGGNNGGAUUAGUGGCGAACGGGUGAGUAACACGUGGGCAAUCUGCCCUUCACUCUGGGACAAGCCCUGGAAACGGGGUCUAAUACCGGAUAAUACUUUCUCCCUCCUGGGAGAAGGUUGAAAGCUCCGGCGGUGAAGGAUGAGCCCGCGGCCUAUCAGCUAGUUGGUGGGGUAAUGGCCUACCAAGGCGACGACGGGUAGCCGGCCUGAGAGGGCGACCGGCCACACUGGGACUGAGACACGGCCCAGACUCCUACGGGAGGCAGCAGUGGGGAAUAUUGCACAAUGGGCGAAAGCCUGAUGCAGCGACGCCGCGUGAGGGAUGACGGCCUUCGGGUUGUAAACCUCUUUCAGCAGGGAAGAAGCGAAAGUACGUC